UACGUAGGGGACGAGCGUUGUCCGGAAUUAUUGGGCGUAAAGAGCGUGUAGGCGGCUCUGCAAGUCCUGCGUGAAAUCUCGAGGCUCAACCUCGAGCGGUCGUGGGAAACUGGAGGGCUAGAGUGCGGGAGAGGGAAGUGGAAUUCCAGGUGUAGCGGUGAAAUGCGCAGAUAUCUGGAGGAACACCGGUGGCGAAGGCGGGUCUCUGGGCCGAUACUGACGCUGAGGAGCGAAAGCGUGGGGAGUCAAACAGG
rnacentral:rRNA from 1 species